rnacentral:rRNA from 2 species
UGGUAAGGCCUUCCCAAUGAAAUAUUUAAAUAGCCGCAGAAAUUUAACUGUGCUAAGGUAGCAUAAUCAUUAGAUUUUUAAUUAAAAUCUGGAAUGAAAGGAAAAACCUUUAACGACUUUCCUAAAAUAAAAAUUUUAAAUUAUAAUAAAAAUAAAAAUAUUUUUAUAAUAUAAAAAGACGACAAGACCCUAUUGAACUUAACUUAAGUUAAGCUGGGGCAGCUAAUUAAAAAUAAUUUUAACUUAUAUAAUAAAAUAGAUACCUAAUUUAUAUUAAAACUAACAAGUUACCAUAGGGAUAACAGCGUAAUUUUUUAAUAAAGUUCUUAUUAAAUAAAAAGAUUGCGACCUCGAUGUUGAAUUAUAACCCUUUUAAAGCAAAAUUAAAAAAGGAGGUCGUCGACCAA